CACGUAGGGUGCGAGCGUUGUCCGGAAUUAUUGGGCGUAAAGAGCUCGUAGGCGGUGUGUCGCGUCGGCCGUGAAAACCUGCAGCCUAACUGUGGGCUUGCGGUCGAUACGGGCAUCACUGGAGUUCGGCAGGGGAGACUGGAAUUCCUGGUGUAGCGGUGGAAUGCGCAGAUAUCAGGAGGAACACCGAGUGGCGAAGGCAGUUCUCUGGGCCGUAACUGACGCUGGAGGAGCGGAAAGCCGUGGGGAGCGAACAGG
rnacentral:rRNA from 1 species